UACGUAGGGGGGCAAGCGUUGUCCGGAAUCAUUGGGCGUAAAGAGCGUGUAGGCGGCCCCGGUAAGUCCGCUGUGAAAGUCGGGGGCUCAACCCUCGAAUGCCGGUGGAUACUGUCGGGCUAGAGUGCGGAAGAGGCGAGUGGAAUUCCUGGUGUAGCGGUGAAAUGCGCAGAUAUCAGGAGGAACACCGAUUGCGAAGGCAGCUCGCUGGGACGUAACUGACGCUGAGACGCGAAAGCGUGGGGGAGCAAACAGG
rnacentral:rRNA from 1 species